rnacentral:rRNA from 1 species
UAACAUGAGAGUUUGAUCCUGGCUCAGAACGAACGCUGGCGGCAUGCUUAACACAUGCAAGUCGAACGGUCAUAUAUGGAGCUUGCUUCGUGUAUGAUAGUGGCAAACGGGUGAGUAACGCGUGGGAAUGUACCCCUUAGUUCGGAAUAACGUUUGGAAACGAACGCUAAUACCGAAUAUUCUAGAGAUAGGAAAGAUUUAUCGCUGAGGGAGCGGCCCGCGUUAGAUUACGGUAGUUGGUAGGGUAAAGGCCUACCAAGCCUAUGAUCUAUAGCUGGUCUGAGAGGACGAUCAGCCACACUGGGACUGAGACACGGCCCAGACUUCUACGGAAGGCAGCAGUGGGGAAUAUUGGACAAUG